rnacentral:rRNA from 1 species
UACAGCCAUAACACAUUGAAACACCAGUUCUUGUACGAUCACCGAAGUUAAGCAACAUCGAGCCUGGUCAUCUAGAUGGGUGACCACUUGGGAAUACCAGGUGCUGUAUG